rnacentral:rRNA from 1 species
AAUAAUGGACAAUGGGCGAAAGCCUGAUCCAGCCAUCCCGCCUGUGUGAAGAAGGUCUUCGGAUUGUAAAGCCCCUUAAGCCGGGGAGAAGGGCAGUAAGUUAAUACCUUGCUGUGUCGACGUUACCGACAGAAUCAGCCCCGGCUAACUCCGGGCCAGAAGCCGCGGUAAUACGAAGGGUGACAGUGUUAAUGGGAAUUACUGGGCGUAAAGCGCGCGUAGGUGGUUUGUUAAGUUGGGAGUGAAAGCCCCGGGCUCAACCUGGGAACUGCUUUAAAAACUGGCAAGCGAGUGUAUGGCAGAGGGUGGUGGAAUUUCCUGUGUAGCGGUGAAAUGCGUAGAUAUAGGAAGGAACACCAGGGGCGAAGGCGACGACCUGGGCUAAUACUGACACUGAGGUGCGAAAGCGUGGGGAGCAAAC